GCUCAGUGGCGCAGUUGGUAGCACUGUUAGCUUUCGCGGCAAGAAGGUCCUGGGUUCAACUCCCGGCUGGGGGUCU